AUGUCGUCGACGAAGCCGCCGGCCGACGCGACGGGAGGGAAGGCGGCGGCGCAGGGGGAGGGGGAGGGGGGGCGGUACCCGGUGGAGGAGGUGGCGCUGGUGGUGCCGGAGACGGACGACCCGGCGACGCCGGUGAUGACAUUCCGGGCCUGGACGCUGGGGCUGGCCUCCUGCGUGGUGCUCAUCUUCCUCAACACCUUCUUCACGUACCGCACGCAGCCGCUCACCAUCUCGGGCAUCCUGGCCCAGAUCCUCGUGCUCCCCGUCGGCCGCUUCAUGGCGUCCGUGCUGCCCGACCGCAAGGUCCGGCUCCUCGGCGGCCGCCUCGGGAGCUUCAACCUCAACCCGGGGCCCUUCAACAUCAAGGAGCACGUCAUCAUCACCAUCUUCGCCAACUGCGGCGUCUCCUACGGCGGCGGCGACGCCUACUCCAUCGGCGCCAUCACCGUCAUGAAGGCCUACUACAAGCAGUCGCUCAGCUUCCUCUGCGCCCUCCUCAUCGUCCUCUCCACGCAGAUUCUGGGCUAUGGCUGGGCUGGCAUGCUGAGGAGGUUCCUGGUUGACCCUGCCGAGAUGUGGUGGCCUUCUAAUCUCGCCCAGGUCUCCCUCUUCAGGGCGCUGCACGAGACGAAGGAGGGCGGGAAGCCGGCGAAGGGCCCGUCGCGGAUGCGCUUCUUCCUCAUCUUCUUCUUCGCGAGCUUCGCCUACUACGCGCUCCCCGGCUACCUGCUUCCCAUCCUGACCUUCUUCUCGUGGGCGUGCUGGGUGUGGCCCCGCAGCAUCACAGCGCAGCAGGUCGGGUCCGGCUACCACGGUCUGGGCGUCGGCGCCUUCACCCUCGACUGGGCGGGCAUCUCGGCGUACCACGGCAGCCCGCUGGUGGCGCCGUGGGCGUCCAUCGCCAACACGGCCGUCGGCUUCGUCAUGUUCAUCUACGUCAUCGUGCCGCUCUGCUACUGGCGCUUCAACACCUUCGACGCCCGCCGCUUCCCCAUCUUCUCCAACCAGCUCUUCACCUCCACGGGCCAGAAGUACGACACGACCAAGGUGCUCACCGCCGACUUCGACCUCAACGUGGCCGCCUACGACAGCUACGGCAAGCUCUACCUCAGCCCGCUCUUCGCCAUCUCCAUCGGCUCCGGGUUCCUCCGCUUCUCCGCCACCAUCGUGCACGUGCUGCUCUUCCACGGCGCCGACAUGUGGCGGCAGAGCCGGAGGGCCAUAGGCGCCGCGGCCAAGCUCGACGUGCACGCCAGGCUCAUGCAGAGGUACAAGCAGGUGCCGCAGUGGUGGUUCCUGGUGCUGCUGGCGGGGAGCAUCGCCGUGUCGCUGCUCAUGUGCUUCGUGUGGAAGGAGCAGGUGCAGCUGCCAUGGUGGGGGAUGCUCUUCGCCUUCGCGCUCGCGUUCGUGGUCACCCUCCCCAUCGGCGUCAUCCAGGCCACCACCAACCAGCAACCCGGGUACGACAUCAUAGCGCAGUUCAUGAUCGGCUACGCGCUACCCGGCAAGCCCAUCGCCAACCUGCUCUUCAAGAUCUACGGCCGGAUCAGCACCGUGCACGCGCUCUCCUUCCUCGCCGACCUCAAGCUCGGCCACUACAUGAAGAUCCCGCCACGCUGCAUGUACACCGCCCAGCUGGUGGGCACGGUGGUCGCCGGCGUGGUGAACCUGGCGGUGGCGUGGUGGAUGCUGGACAGCAUCGACAACAUCUGCGACGUGGAGGCGCUGCACCCGGACAGCCCCUGGACGUGCCCCAAGUACCGGGUCACCUUCGACGCGUCGGUGAUCUGGGGCCUCAUCGGGCCGGGGCGCCUCUUCGGCCAGCACGGGUUGUACCGGAACCUGGUGUGGCUGUUCGUGGUCGGCGCCGUGCUGCCGGUGCCGGUGUGGCUGCUGAGCCGGGCGUUCCCGGAGAAGAAGUGGAUCGCGCUCGUCAACGUGCCCGUCAUCUCCUACGGCUUCGCCGGGAUGCCGCCGGCCACGCCCACCAACAUCGCCAGCUGGCUCGUCACCGGCACCGUCUUCAACUUCUUCGUCUUCAGGUACCGCAAGGGGUGGUGGCAGAAGUACAACUACGUGCUAUCGGCGGCGCUCGACGCCGGCACCGCCUUCAUGGGGGUGCUCAUCUUCUUCGCGCUCCAGAACGCGCACCACGACCUCAAGUGGUGGGGCACCGAGGUCGACCACUGCCCGCUCGCCACCUGCCCCACCGCGCCCGGCAUCGUCGUCAAGGGCUGCCCGGUCUUCUGA
rnacentral:rRNA from 1 species